AUUGAACGCUGGCGGCAGGCCUAACACAUGCAAGUCGAACGAGUGGCGGACGGGUGAGUAAUGUCUGGGAAACUGCCUGAUGGAGGGGGAUAACUACUGGAAACGGUAGCUAAUACCGCAUACCAUCAGAUGUGCCCAGAUGGGAUUAGCUUGUUGGUGGGGUAACGGCUCACCAAGGCGACGAUCCCUAGCUGGGCUGAGAGGAUGACUGGCCACCCUGGAACGGGGACAAGGUCCAGACUCCUAGGGGAGGCAGCAGUGGGGAAUAUUGCACAAGGGGCGCAGGCCUGAUGCAGCCAUGCCGCGUGUAUGAAGAAGGUCAUCGGUUUGUAAAGUACUUUCAGCGGGGAGGCGUUACCCGCAGAAGAAGCACCGGCUAACUCCGUGCCAGCAGCCGCGGUAAUAC
rnacentral:rRNA from 1 species